rnacentral:lncRNA from 11 species
AUGCUUCUGGAACAUGGCCAUAAAGACUGGAAAACUCACAGCAUCCCAAAGAUUCCAGCCAUGAACCCUUUGACAACACAUUUGUUGCUUCCACUCCAAAUUCAAAAGUAUCCUUGGAGCAUGUUGAAAUGUAUCCUCUGUGGAUGCAGGUGUCGUACAACAAAACUAUGCAGAAGCAUCACCAUAUCUUUAUCAGAGGAAACCAUCAUGAGAAGAGGAAUCUCAAAGAGCCAAGUGAAGAUGGAAGACGUUUGGUGGGCAUAAAACACUGGCUAUUGGAGGGAAAUAGAUGGAAACAAUGAGGCAGUGAGAUAGAAAAAAGGGCUUAGCUGCUUGAAAAGUGGAUGCAAGCACUCCACAAUGCAACAAUUUGCUACAGGUCGCACCUGUAAAGAAAAAUAGCUCAAGAUAAGAUUGAACAACAAAGGCAAUACGGAAGCAGUGUUGUUUUAAAAAAGGGGUCAUCAUUUUGCUUUGGCUCAUACAAUUGUAUCGUUGGGUACUUCCAAAAUAAACACCCAGAUUGUAGCUGAGGCUACUAAACAUUGCCAGACUAAAUCAAAAUGCUAUUUGUUUUGUAAAAUGAGGUUUUGCAUUUACGAAUCAUGAGAUUUGGAUCUAUGGGGUGGGGUUGGGACAAACUGUGCUAGAUUUAUUCCUAUACAUUCUAAGCAAAUCAUAGAACUUGGCACAAGAUAAAAAGAAAAGUGCUGGAUGCACUUGAUACUGUAAUUAUCAUUAUUACUAUACAUACUCUGCAAUUAACAGCACUGGUAACAGUGCCAUUGGUAUCCUUCCCGUACCAAUUGCCCUCCAUUCUGGGCAAGAAUUUUGUUGGGAUCACAGCUGUGGAGAGCAAGGUUGGGAUCUCUCAGUACCCAGCUAUUCGUAUGAAAUGUGGAACAAGUUCACCUGUUAUUAAAGUGGUCUCCCUCCCCACACACACCCUUCUUAAUCUAGUUUAUAACUUCCAACAGUA